GACGAACGCUGGCGGCGUGCUUAACACAUGCAAGUCGAACGAAGAGCGAUGGAAGCUUGCUUCUAUCAAUCUUAGUGGCGAACGGGUGAGUAACGCGUAAUCAACCUGCCCUUCAGAGGGGGACAACAGUUGGAAACGACUGCUAAUACCGCAUACGAUCUAAUCUCGGCAUCGAGGAUAGAUGAAAGGUGGCCUCUACAUGUAAGCUAUCACUGAAGGAGGGGAUUGCGUCUGAUUAGCUAGUUGGAGGGGGAACGGCCCACCAAGGCGAUGAUCAGUAGCCGGUCUGAGAGGAUGAACGGCCACAUUGGGACUGAGACACGGCCCAGACUCCUACGGGAGGCAGCAGUGGGGAAUCUUCCGCAAUGGACGAAAGUCUGACGGAGCAACGCCGCGUGAGCGAUGACGGCCUUCGGGUUGUAAAGCUCUGUUAAUCGGGACGAAAGGCCUUCUUGCGAAUAGGGAGAAGGAUUGACGGUACCGGAAUAGAAAGCCACGGCUAACUACGUG
rnacentral:rRNA from 1 species